UAGUGUCCUUACGGACGUGGGGGUUCAAGUCCCCCCCCUCGCACCACGACUUUAAAGAAUUGAACUAAAAAUUCAAAAAGCAGUAUU
rnacentral:tRNA from 1 species